UACGAAGGGGGCUAGCGUUGCUCGGAAUUACUGGGCGUAAAGGGCGCGUAGGCGGACAGUUUAGUCAGAGGUGAAAGCCCACGGCUCAACCGUGGAGGGUCAUUGGAAACUGGGGGACUUGAGUGCAGGAGAGAAGAGUGGAAUUCCACGUGUAGCGGUGAAAUGCGUAGAGAUGUGGAGGAACACCAAUGGCGAAGGCAGCCUUCUGGGCCAACACUGACGCUCAUGCACGAAAGCGUGGGGAGCAAACAGG
rnacentral:rRNA from 1 species